UACUCGAGUGGCGAACGGGUGAGUAACACGUGGGUGAUCUGCCCUGUACUUCGGGAUAAGCCUGGGAAACUUGGUCUAAUACCGGAUAGGAGCCAUUUUUAGUGUGAUGGUUGGAAAGUUUUUUCGGUGUAGGAUGAGCUCGCGGCCUAUCAGCUUGUUGGUGGGGUAAUGGCCUACCAAGGCGGCGACGGGUAGCCGGCCUGAGAGGGUGGACGGCCACAUUGGGACUGAGAUACGGCCCAG
rnacentral:rRNA from 1 species